GUGCUGCUCACUUGGGCAACACAUAUACUAAAAUCAAAAUAAUACAGAGAAGAUUAGCAUUCACCCUGUACAAGGAUGGCACACAAGUUCAUGAAGCAUUUCAUAUUUUU